UACGAGGGGGGCAAGCGUUGUUCGGAAUUACUGGGCGUAAAGCGUGCGUAGACGGUUAUGUAAGUCGGGUGUGAAAGCCCCGGGCUCAACCUGGGAAUUGCAUUCGAGACUGCAUAGCUAGGGUGCGGAAGAGGGAAGCGGAAUUUCCGGUGUAGCGGUGAAAUGCGUAGAUAUCGGAAGGAACACCAGUGGCGAAAGCGGCUUCCUGGUCCAGCACCGACGUUCAGGCACGAAAGCGUGGGGAGCAAACAGG
rnacentral:rRNA from 1 species